CAGCGGGCCGAGACCCGGAAGCAGUACCCUCGACAGGAAAUGACGUUCAGACAGCUCUGGGGAACUGCCGCGGGGCAGUCACUCAAGGGUGUCGGCCACGCCCCGUCUAAUUAGUCCCACCUCCUUUCACUGCCCCAGCUCCAGAGCUUCACUGCGGCUGCGCGAGUUACAGCCUGCCGCUCCGCUCAGCCCCUAGGUUCGAUGCUCUUGUGACAUAACCCUAAUAAUGACUGUUCAGUGAGAGUGCAGUCAAAGAGCACAUUGCUGCCACUACAGGAACAGAGCCCAUGAGGCAGCCAGAGAAGAGUAUGCUGGGUUCUAGAUGCCCUGGUUACAGGGCACAGACGCCAACAACUGACUUUCCUAUGGAAGCAAGAAAGGGCUUCGUGGAAGGUGCUGCUGCAGCUACAAAAAUGUCCAAGAGAGCCCAAAGCUCAGGCUUCACACUGAUUCCAUAUCUGGCUCAAUGUAGCUGUGAUCGGAGAUGGUCGGGGUUACUCUUGCAAUGUGGUGUACAGCCUUCUUAUUAUUGUGCCAUUCUUGAAAUAUAAAGUUCAUAUGGAUUCAUAA